GCGGCGUGCUUACACAUGCAAGUCGAACGAUGAAAUCACUUCGGUGGUGGAUUAGUGGCGAACGGGUGAGUAACACGUGGGCAAUCUGCCCUUCACUCUGGGACAAGCCCUGGAAACGGGGUCUAAUACCGGAUACCACNNNGUCCCGCAUGGGACGGGGUUGAAAGCUCCGGCGGUGAAGGAUGAGCCCGCGGCCUAUCAGCUUGUUGGUGGGGUAAUGGCCUACCAAGGCGACGACGGGUAGCCGGCCUGAGAGGGCGACCGGCCACACUGGGACUGAGACACGGCCCAGACUCCUACGGGAGGCAGCAGUGGGGAAUAUUGCACAAUGGGCGAAAGCCUGAUGCAGCGACGCCGCGUGAGGGAUGACGGCCUUCGGGUUGUAAACCUCUUUCAGCAGGGAAGAAGCGCAAGUGACGGUACCUGCAGAAGAAGCGCCGGCUAACUACGUGCCAGCAGCCGCGGUAAUACGUAGGGCGCAAGCGUUGUCCGGAAUUAUUGGGCGUAAAGAGCUCGUAGGCGGCUUGUCACGUCGGAUGUGAAAGCCCGGGGCUUAACCCCGGGUCUGCAUUCGAUACGGGCUAGCUAGAGUGUGGUAGGGGAGAUCGGAAUUCCUGGUGUAGCGGUGAAAUGCGCAGAUAUCAGGAGGAACACCGGUGGCGAAGGCGGAUCUCUGGGCCAUUACUGACGCUGAGGAGCGAAAGCGUGGGGAGCGAACAGGAUUAGAUACCCUGGUAGUCCACGCCGUAAACGUUGGGAACUAGGUGUUGGCGACAUUCCACGUCGUCGGUGCCGCAGCU
rnacentral:rRNA from 1 species